rnacentral:lncRNA from 1 species
CUGCCCCACUCACUAAAGCUUUGAUCUAAUCCAGCUCAGCUAGAACAGGCAGCUGCCACAGGGAUUGGGCUCACCCAACAGCAAGCCCUCAGGCAACUUGUGGGCCUACAUAGGCUGGGUGCCUGGAUCCUCAGCAGGCAGGGUGUCUUCCUAUUAAAUAUGGGGACCACGAGGACCCUCUGCUAUGUUCUUAGUGGACAUCACAGAUGUGGAAGAGACACGGCCUUUGGAAUCAGAUUUGUUUCUGUUUCCCAGAUCUGCAAUUUAAUAUAUGUGAACCUGGAGGGUGGAUGCUCCUGGAGAGGACAUUGCGCUACACUCGAGUUCUCAAAGGCUCAGCCAGUCAUGAAGAGAUGAGAGCUGAAGAUGAGAAACCGUGUCCAGUCUUUGGCAUUCCCUUCUGCGGCUGCUUCCAACUUUCCCAUGCCCACCAGUCCCCUGAGCCCUGUCCCAUAUGCCUUCCUCUGGCUCUAUGGACAAGCUUUUUCACCGAAUAUCAAACCUGGGAGGCUCCAGAUGUCAGGUAGCUCCCCCAGGACAUUCAAUCAGAAUGGAAAAAAAUGUACGCA